rnacentral:rRNA from 1 species
AUACCUCGGCGAAAGCCGGAUUAAUACCGCAUGUGAUUAGGGGAGACAUCUCUCCGAAAUCAAAGGUGGCGAAAGCUACCGCUUUUUGAGGGGCCCGCGGCCUAUCAGCUAGUUGGUGAGGUAACGGCUCACCAAGGCGAUGACGGGUAGCUGGUCUGAGAGGACGACCAGUCACACUGGGACUGAGACACGGCCCAUACACCUACGGGUGGCAGCAGUCGAGAAUUUUUCUCAAUGGGGGAAACCCUGAAGGAGCGACGCCGCGUGGAGGAUGAAGGUCUUCGGGUUGUAAACUCCUGUCAUUUGGGAAC